CCUACGGGAGGCAGCAGUGGGGAAUAUUGCACAAUGGGGGAAACCCUGAUGCAGCGACGCCGCGUGAGUGAAGAAGUAAUUCGUUAUGUAAAGCUCUAUCAGCAGGGAAGAAAAUGACGGUACCUGAGUAAGAAGCCCCGGCUAACUACGUGCCAGCAGCCGCGGUAAUACGUAGGGGGCAAGCGUUAUCCGGAUUUACUGGGUGUAAAGGGAGCGUAGACGGCAGUGCAAGUCUGGAGUGAAAGGCGGGGGCUAAACCCCCGGACUGCUCUGGAAACUGUACGGCUGGAGUGCAGGAGAGGUAAGUGGAAUGCCUAGUGUAGCGGUGAAAUGCGGAGAUAUUAGGAGGAACACCAGUGGCGAAGGCGGCUUACUGGACUGUAACUGACGUUGAGGCUCGAAAGCGUGGGGAGCAAACAGGAUUAGAUACCCGGGUAGUC
rnacentral:rRNA from 1 species